AUGGAUGACAACCGUUGUCCGAUAGUUAGUUGGAACGUACGUGGGCUCAAUAUGCCAGCCAAACGUGACGCUGUCUGUGAAGCAGUCGCGGUGCAUCGACCAGCGAUUCUUUGUCUCCAGGAGACGAAAAUCGACACUUGGUCACCAGCUCUAGUCAGGGAUAUAGGAGGUAGCAGGUUAGCCGACUGCAUAGUGUUGCCUGCGAUCGGUUCUAAAGGCGGGGUGGCCAUUCUUUGGGACAAUGAGAUCGUCUCAAUCGCGUCCCAGACAGUAGGAGAAUUCGCCAUCACUACCAAAGUAACGGUCAGCCAAUCGGCCACUGCUUUUUGGCUAACUGCGGUCUAUGGACCGGCAGAAGACGCUCGAAAGGAUGCGUUCCUUCUGGAGCUGGCAUGA
rnacentral:rRNA from 1 species